rnacentral:rRNA from 1 species
UACGUAGGGGGCAAGCGUUGUCCGGAAUCAUUGGGCGUAAAGAGCGUGUAGGCGGCUCGGUAAGUCCGCUGUGAAAGUCCAGGGCUCAACCCUGGAAUGCCGGUGGAAACUGUCGAGCUAGAGUCCGGAAGAGGCGAGUGGAGUUCCUGGUGUAGCGGUGAAAUGCGCAGAUAUCAGGAGGAACACCAAUGGCGAAGGCAGCUCGCUGGGACGGUACUGACGCUGAGACGCGAAAGCGUGGGGAGCAAACAGG